UGACAAACACAAAGGAAAAAAGAAGAGGCACCUCCAAUUUGUUCUCUAGGGCUUUUGGAAAACAUGGAGUUGUUCCUUUGGCCACAGACACAGGAAUCUACAAGAAAAAGCGAUGUUGUAGACAUCAAGAAAAUGAAAAUGGCUACUGUUCAAAAAGGAAUGCCCACAAAUAUUACCAUGGCAAAACUGGAAGUUACAAUGUUAUCCAGCAUGCUGUUGGCAAUGCUGUAACAAACGAAAUUCUUGCCAAAAGAAUUAAUGUAUAUAAUGAGCAUAUAAAGCACUACAGCUGAGAUGGCUUCCCAAAACACAUGAAGGAAAAAGAUCAGAAAAAGAAGGAAGCCAAAGAGAAAGGUACCUAGGUACAACUGAAGCACCAGCAUUCUCCACCCAGAAAAGCACACUUUGUGAGAACCAAUGGACAGGAGCCUGAACUGCUGGAACCUAUAACCUGUGAAUUCAUGGCA
rnacentral:lncRNA from 1 species